ensembl:lncRNA
UUGAAGGCAUUUAUCAAACUAAUGUUACCUUCUGAUCUCCACAAACUUUACUGUUCAGUGAAGAGAAUCAAAGUUUGUUGAGGAUUUCUAAAAAACCCACAGGUGAAGGUCUGAGAAGAACUCAGAUGGAUGGUCUAAAUGUGAAAUCAAGACUCAUGGUCACAAGUUUUAAGGCUUCUGUUAACCAUAAAGUUCAAACUAACAGAGAAGUACUGAGAAACUUUUAAAAUUUCAGUCCUCAGACUGUCUGAAGGUUCAAACUAACAGAGAUCUACUCAGGAACUUAGAAGAUAUCAGUCCUCAGACUGUCUGAAGGUUCAAACUAACAGAGAAGUACUCAGGAACUGAGAAGAUAUCAGCCCUCAGACUGUGUGAAGGUUCAAACUAACAGAGAUCUACUGUGGGACUUAGAAAAUUUCAGCCCUCAGACUGUGUGAAAGCUCAGGUCCUGAGGACUCGGGAGGUGUGGAGGCUUUGGAAAGUCUUGGAACUGAGGGUUCAACCCUCCAGCACAAAGGCUGAAGUCCAACCUCCUGAGAAAAACGGUCGAGAAAAGAGAAAGUAAAAAAAAAAACUCGAAAACGACAAAAAAUAGAUGAUAAAUGCGCAAAAAAAAGAAGAAUUAGUAUCUGAGCGAGUAGCUCAGGAGGAUAAGAAGAGGACUACCAAGCGGAGGGUCGCAGGUUCAAGACCUGCCAGUGGCAGUUUUCUUUCUUUGUCUUUGUCACACUUUUGAGAAAAUUUAAGAAGUGUCUGGUCUUGAACCAGCGACCUGCAGCUCCAUAGGCAAAUCCUUAACUCACUGAGCUACAGAUCAGAUGAAAAGAAAUAAAUUCGUCGUCCCUUUGGCAUCGAAGUUCCUGAAGUGACCACAUGGGCGGAGCCAAGGCGGAGUCUGGGUGGAGUCAGGGCGGAGAGUAGGCGGGGAGGUGGGUGGCGGCCUCCCCCCUCUACUCCCCCACCUCCCCCCACCGCCCACCACACCUUCCCCCGCCCGACGAGUUCUUCGAGUCUCCACGAGUCCUUCGAGUCUCCACAGGUUUUCCCGAGUUUCUGGAGUUUCCACCAGGUCGGAGGCAGAACAAGUUGUCAUGAAGAGGUGUUGAAAUCGGC